GUAGGGAGGGGCCGAGUCAUAAAAGGCCUCCAAUGUCUGGCUAAGUGGGGACUUGACCUUGUAGGUGCUGGGGAGUUGCUGGAAGGUUCUGAGCUGCGUGAUCACUGGUGAGAGCUAACUUAAAGAGGAGGACUGCUCUGGUGGCCAGGUGGAGCCUGGAUUGUAUGGGGUGGGACGGGAGGCAGCUGGUCCAGGGGAGGACACAGGGUGGACUGAGGACGUCAUCCCGCAGAAGAGGGCCGUAUUCCCGCUUGACUUGAAAGGAGAACCCCAGAUCAUGACCGAUGGAUUAACAAUGGGGAGGACUGUGAAAUUAGUGCCGAUUGUCCCAGAAACUAGAAACUGCCGAGUGACCGGUGCCAUAGAAGUUUCAGAAAAGCGCACCCAACAUGAUCGUGUAUCCGCGGCAGUGGCACAGAGCGGGUGCUCCCAGGGCAGCUUUUGGAUGAAUGACUUUCCCUGAGUGGGAGGGGCGAGGAGCAGCAGGAAGCAAGACGCAGGAGUCCUUGGCCAGGGGACGAAAUCAUGCAGCUCCCUCCGUGGCUUCCUCCUGCUCCUGCCAGCUCCACUGCCCGGCGGCCUUGCCCGGGCCCAGUAGCCACAUACCGCCACGUGUAAAUCUGGAGGAGGCGAAAACAGGCAGAAACUCAACACGACCAGAAACAGAUGUCAAGAACAUUAUGGGUGGGGCCCCGCGAGGGGAGAGCCGGGGCCAGCGGUGGCUGCUGCGGGAGCCAGAGAGGAAGGAGGGAUUUCCAGGACAGGAGUCAAGAGUGCACG